AUCUUCAAGAUAUAAUUAACAUAAGAAUUGGUACCUUUGCAUCUUUCCUAUGCGUUUGUAUCAAAGACUCAACGGUACAAACACAAGGAUGCAUACCUGUAAGGUUCCUAACCACACCUCUGCAUUAAGAAGAUUACUGAGCAAUCUAACAAAAGGGUGUUUACUUUUAGUGCACCCUGAUUCUGUAUCACUCAGCCCAUUUGCAAUCUGUAAUACUGAUAUCAUUUAAUUGAUAUUUACUGAUAUUUCAGAGACAAAGGGACCCAUGCUUCUCCAUCAAUCAGAUUUAGUAAAUCCACAAAAGUCAAAACGAACCAGUCAAGAGACAGAAAAAUCAAGCCUCUGGGAUGCUACACUACUGUCUCUUGUGUGGUUAAUUUUGAUGAUCUCGUUGAAGCAAAGCCUUUAGCAACGUGCUUUUUCAUACAAACAUCCAUAGCUCAGAGACGAUUAAUCACUAUUUAUUACUCACCUUCUGGCAACACCCACUCUAAGCUAGGCACCAUCCAGACACAUCAAGACAGUCCCCGUCUGAAGGUUUUGUGGCAAAAUAGAGCCAUUUCUGAGACCCAAUCCUGAUGGACAGGCAUCUACAGACCCCCAUGGUACUCGACACAGCUACUAGGAUCUCCCAGAAUAAAGCUGUUCACAGGAUAACUUUAUCACAAAUAUCAUUCUUUCAAAAAGGGACAAGGUAUGUACUAAAUACAUCAGCUAUACCUACUUUUCAGUACCUGCCAACUGCUACUGGUGUUACGGUACAAGUAAGCCUUGUGAAAGGAUUUUGCUGAAGAAAUACAGUGAAUCUUCAUAGAUUUAUCGAUCAGAGCACCUCACUUGGUUACAGGAAAGUAGUUAUUCUGUUCUUCUGUGGCAUUAGUAACUUCUCAAACAAAGAAGCCUGAUUGAGGCAGACAGUGAGGGGCUUAUCAGCUUAGGAAAUGGGAAGGAUGGUCCAAUUAACUGCCAAGCAGUCAGACAUAAUUCACUCUGACCAGGCCAAUGAGAGACAAGUCCCAGAAAUGCAUGUCCUGUCCAUUUAUGUAACACCCAAACAUUGCCCCCUGCAAAGUCUCCCCCUCUGGAAGUGUUACCUAACUAAGGAGCAAGCCAGCAUAGGAAAAUCUACCUGUAUCAGGCUGCAUCCAAACCGGCACCCUCUCUGAUUAAGCAACCACCUCAGUGGUACAGGAGACAUUGCCAGUCACUAAACUGCUGAACUCAGGCACUAACAGCCAUCACCAAGCAGACAGCCAGAAAGCUCUGUGCAAGGUUAUGCAGGGUACACACCACUGUGCUGUCUUCUCACACAUCAAUGAACGGGGCAAGAUGCAGAAAGCACAAAAAGGAAAAAAACCCCUGCCUUGUAGGGUGUAGGUAGGCAGGCUUCAUCUCCUUCUUCUGAGUCUCUUCUGCUAGCACAGAAGUAGGCAGAAUGUUACUGAAGUGAUAUGACAAUGUUAAAAACAAACAAAUAAAAAACCUGAAGGCAAACCAUAUGUAACAGUUGAUUAGGAAAGCUGUGAAUCCAGCCACACUGCUGCUCUUCAUGUCCUCUGCCAUGCUUAGUACCCCACCAGUCCAGGGGAAACAGAAGGAGGGCACAGAGAAAGAGGAAGAGGAGAAAUUUCACAAAAAACGCUAGAAUGAAAAGAGAAAGUUCUCAGUGAACGACAGUCCUAGCUUGGGAUCCAUCACCUAGGAGGCAGCAGGCAUUUAAAGUGGAGACAGGAGAAAAAAAGAAAGAAAAAAAAAGCCCACCAAACAUUGAUUCAUAAAUACAAAAUUCAUAUGAUGUUUAUCGAAAGAGUGGAAUCUUUAUUCUGCAACAAAUAUGUGCAGGUGGCACCUGAUCCAUCCUUUGAUAAGGCACCUUUUUUUGUAUAAUCCUCUUCAUUUUUAAGUGCCAGACUUAAGACUGUCAUGUUUAGAAAUACAUGCUUUAUGCACUAUAAGCAGGAGUGUAAAAAACCCCAGUUGUGUGAAAUAUUUACGUUACGUCUGGCAACAUCCUACUUGUCAGCCAGUUACCAGGAGCUAAGGAAUCUGUGUGGUACUAGCAAAGUUGCCUUGCAGCAGGGUGUUAGAGCAAGCACGAAUCGGACUAUAUAUGGUAUGUUUACUGAACGAUUAGGCAUAAAGAUGUUACAGAAGAAAUGAUGUCUUGUAUUAGAUGCUGGGCUUCCUGCUGCAAGACAAACCAUCUUGCUCGGAAAGCAGUCUGUCACAUAUUCCUCAUAUGCUUCUGGCUGCGGGUGCCAGUGAAACCUCUAGAAAACAGGAACAGGUUAUGCCGCAUGUAAUGAUUAACUACAUGGAGGAUCAGCCCUCCAAGCUCCGCCCGCCAGCAUUCCCUGUCUCCUUGCUGCUCUUCCUCCCCCGCUACUUUUCGGCUGGGACUGUUCAGCAGGCAACCCUGGGGAGGGCAGGAAGGCACACACACAGGCACAUGCUGCGCUGCCUCUGCGACGGGAUGACGGCCAAAGCCAAGUUGCAGCCCCUUCUCUCCUCUGACUCCUUCCAUGCUCCAUCACACUCCAGCACAAACAUAGGCACACGGGAAGGAGACGCCAGAAAACAAAACACUGAGUUCAUCACAGACUGAAACUGGAUGCAUAGUUUCUUUACUGGAAGGAACGGGAUCAACUCACCAGGACCAUCAGCCCUCAAGUGCCAGACUUCUCACCUUCAUUGCUGCUUUUUGACAUUUAGCAACUCCUCAAGAAACCCUCAAAACUAUACAAAGUGGUAAGGGGGUGGGAAAACAAAGCAAAAAAAAAA